CGCGGGAUAGAGUAAUUGGCAACUCGUCAGGCUCAUAAUCUGAAGGUUGUAGGUUCAAGUCCUACUCCCGCCA
rfam:Bacterium TMED88 isolate TMED88 MHASMcontig_369914, whole genome shotgun sequence.